rnacentral:RNase_P_RNA from 1 species
GAGGAAAGUCCGGACUCUUUUUAUAGAAAUAUAGCUGUAUAAAAUUCAGUGUAGGUAACUAUUAGGAUCGUGCCACAGAAAUAUACCGCCUUAAAAUUUAGGUAAGGGUGCAAGGGUGCGGUAAAAGCGUACCAGAAGUAUUGUUAAGAUAUUUGCUAGGUAAACCCCAUAUUAGAGCAAAGUAAUUAGUGUGUUAUUAAAAUUUACUAUAAGUUAAAACACUGAUUUAUUAAUACUGCAUGAAGUUAAUUUUAUGACUCUAGAUUAAUAAUUACCCUUGUUUGUAUAAACUUUUAUAAUGAUAAAUAUAUUUAUUCAAAGAAGAACAAAACCCGGCUUAC